rnacentral:lncRNA from 10 species
GACAAAGUGGACGUAGAACUCCCCCAUUUCCUGCCCAGGGCGGGUGAGGACCCUGCACACACACGGUGUGUUUGUGAGCUGUGCAGAGUGGGGUCUCCCUGGCAAUGGCCACAGCCUCCAGGGGCGCUGACACCUCCCGUCUAACUGGUAGACAGUUUCUGCCUCUUCUUGUUUGGGGAUUGGAGAGGGAAGUGCGUCUGGAUGACUACUAAGGUGACAGAAACUCCAUUUGCACCAGCUUACAUUAAAAAAAGAGGAGGGAGAAUAUGGUCGAGUGACCCCAGGAGUGAUAGGGAGCACUGACGGAGUUUCUCCCUGCUCUGGAUAGCAGAUCCGCUGGCUCCCAGCUUAUGAUCCAUGAAGAGAACGUCUUCCCCUUGGGCUUCAAUUUGAAGAAUCCUGAAGACGACCCUGAUGGCCUUUCGCGGUCCACGUGCCCCUUCUUGCACUACCGUGAUGGUCCUAUCCACGGACGCCUUCUCUUGGGUUCUGUGGUUGGAUGCGGAGGAAUCAUCGAUCCUCUGUAGUGGAAGGGAAGGGAGGACACACCAAGACCAUGUGGCCCCAAGAGCCGUGAGAGGAGCAGAAGCCUGACUGGUGCCUCUUACAUGUCACUGCAGCCUCGGGGGGGGCCACCAGGAAAACACCUGACAUCCUGUUCUCUAGUAAUGGUGUGGCUGGAAUCAUUCCUGUACCAAAUAAUUCACCCAUUUAAAGUGUGCAAUCCAACAAUGAUUGGUAUACUCAGAGUUCUGCAACUCUCACCACAAUCAAUUUUGGAACAUUUCUAUCAUCCCUAGCAAUAAAUACUAUAUCUUUUUUUUGUGUGUGUGAGACAGAGUGUCACUUUGUCACCCAGGCUGGAGUGCAAUGGCGUGAUCUCUGCUCCCUGCAACCUCCACCUCCCGGGUUCAAGCAAUUCUCCUGCCUCAGCCUCCCAAGUAGCUAGCUGGGACUACAGGCACGCACCACCACACCUGGCUAAUUUUUGUAUUUUUAGUAGAGACAGGGUUUCAUCAUGUUGGCCAGGAUGGUUUUGAUCUCCUGACUUCAUGAUCCACUCGCCUCAGCCUCCCAAAGUGCUGGGACUACAGGCGUGAGCCACCACGCCCGGCCAGCAAAUACCGUAUCUGACUAGCACUUUCCAUUUCCCUCCAACCCCCUAAUGGUUUCUUUUCCCACAAUAAUCUAAAUGUUUAAGGAACUGGUUUGCUAACUCAUUUCUUAAUGACAAGAAUUAAGCCAGCACAGCCUCUGGUUUCUGACAUUCUUUCCCUACAAAGUCAUUCAUCAUUUAUCCUUUUUUAAGGGACUUCCUUCAUCUCUGUGCCUUAGGCUCACUUCCUGACUGUGGGGAUCAGCUCCUCUCACCAAUGGUGAGUAGGGAGUACCUGCCGUUAAACCUCUGUCACCACAGGAGAGAGAUGCCAUGGAUGGAUGAUUUUCUCUCUGAUUCUUGGCAUUAGUUCAUUGGGCAAAAAUUCAGCUUCCAGUUAAGCACCGGCCCAUGGACCGGGCUUGGUCCUGUUUCCCCUGGAAGCACUGCUGGGAAACCAAGCCCAGCCCUGCAGGGCUUCCUCCUGCUGCCGCCCA